rnacentral:sRNA from 1 species
AUGGAAGCUGUAUGUUUGAAGCUUUCAUAUAUCCACAGAACAGGUAGAGUACAAGCAGCGGCAGUUCAAGCUUCUCCUCCUCACCUCACCAUUGUAUUUCAGUCCUGACAUAGUGGAACCAAUUCUAGGAUUGAAAGGGCAACCUCAGUCCCCACGCCCAUUUAAUCCUAGAUAUCU